GGAUACGGCCAUACUGCGCAGAAAGCACCGCUUCCCAUCCGAACAGCGAAGUUAAGCUGCGCCAGGCGGUGUUAGUACUGGGUNNN
rnacentral:rRNA from 1 species